rfam:Sarcophilus harrisii ctg7180002455859, whole genome shotgun sequence.
GAGAAUGUCAUAAUGGUUAUGGGGUUGACUUGAAAUCAACUUUUUGGGGGGUUUGAUUCCUUCCUUUCUUG